rnacentral:rRNA from 1 species
GACGAACGCUGGCGGCGUGCUUAACACAUGCAAGUCGAACGGAAAGGCCCUGCUUUUGUUGGGUGCUCGAGUGGCGAACGGGUGAGUAACACGUGAGUAACCUGCCCUUGCCUUUGGGAUAACUUCAGGAAACUGGGGCUAAUACCGGAUAGGAGCUCCUGCUGCAUGGUGGGGGUUGGAAAGUUUCGGCGGUUGGGGAUGGACUCGCGGCUUAUCAGCUUGUUGGUGGGGUAGUGGCUUACCAAGGCUUUGACGGGUAGCCGGCCUGAGAGGGUGACCGGCCACAUUGGGACUGAGAUACGGCCCAGACUCCUACGGGAGGCAGCAGUGGGGAAUAUUGCACAAUGGGCGGGAGCCUGAUGCAGCAACGCCGCGUGCGGGAUGACGGCCUUCGGGUUGUAAACCGCUUUCGCCUGUGACGAAGCGUGAGUGACGGUAAUGGGUAAAGAAGCACCGGCUAACUACGUG